rnacentral:misc_RNA from 1 species
CCUGAGUCGAUUGUUGGUUGUUCCGAGAAGUUUUUGGCCGUUCGCAACUCCGCCCCCUAAUCGGUGUUGGCCGCGCAUGGCACCCGUCGGGCUUGAAAAGACAAUCAAGCCUGUCGAUGACGAGGUACCUAUCGUAGGGUUUUUUUCGAUUUUUUUCAAAAAAAAACUUUACGAUAGGUAUNGANUCAUCAACAUGCGUGGGGCGGUCGGUUUCGUUGCUUCGGAUCUUGCGUAUUUUCUAGAUGGACGUAAUUCGUUAAUCAUUCUUCGNUAGUGACCCGACUUAAUUGCCAUUUGCCAGCGUUUACGAGCGAUGUCGGUUGAGCUUUGCUCCGGCUUAGACUGCAAAAUAUACGUAUUGGGUAGCGUUNCGGGCCAUGUUGGUCGAGCUUUGCUCGACCUAGACUGCCGGUAUAAAACGCAGGCAACCGUGGACGAGCGAUGUUGGUUGAGCUUUGCUCCGGCCUGACUGCUAGUUACACGGAUGUAUGUUACUCGGGGCAUGUUUAGCGAAUUCACUGAACUCGAUGUAAAUACACCAGCAAGAGAUGAUGCAACGUAGCUCACCGUUUGGUUUCCUGAUUUCGUAUCGUUCGGUGCAUUCUGGGGCUGUUUUGGCUUUUGGUUGCUUGCUUCGCUUUAGGCAAAGCGGGUGGCUACUAGUCGGGGUGGCUUCGGGGAUGUUCUCCGUAAAGGUGCAUGAGUGGUGUUUGGUUUGUUACGUGUGGUUGGCUGCGGCGCUUGCAACAACUUCCACGCUCUCAUACCUYUUCAGUAGUGCGGCAAGGCUUGUAUCGCCUUGAGCGUAAUGUGGGUUUUCUGUGUUUUAUACCUAAUCAACGGUAUCGGUUGGAUAGAUAAAAAGUUGCUUUUCGCCUUGCGUUGCAUUUGCGGCGUGAGGUGAACCUGAAUGCGUUCUCUUUGGUCCACYUUGUCGCAGCACAAGCUUCGGCAUUGUGGCACAUUGAGUAUUGCUUGGUUUCUUGUAUACGGAACAUAAAGUGGGCAUGGAUCUAACGAUUCUUGUUUGCCCUUGUUUCAGCGUUCUCGCUUCUUUAAAACGACU